UUAAUUAGAAGCUUGUAUGAAUGAUUGGAUGAGAUAACAGCUGUCUUAAUUUUAUUUAAUAUUGAAUUUUAAUUUUUAAUAAAAAUGUUAAAAUUUUUUUAAAAGACGAGAAGACCCUAUAAAUCUUUAUUUUAAUAAUAAUUUAUUUAUAUAUUUAUAAAUUUAUAUUUGAAUUUUAAUUAAAAUUGUAUUGGGGCGAUAAUUUAAUAUGAAAAACUUUUAUAAUGUAUUUAAUAUUGAUUUAUAAGUUAAAUGAUCCUUUAAUAUAGAUUAUUAAAUUAAGUUACUUUAGGGAUAACA
rnacentral:rRNA from 1 species